rnacentral:rRNA from 1 species
GAUGAACGCUGGCGGCGUGCCUAAUACAUGCAAGUCGAGCGAACAGACGAGGAGCUUGCUCCUCUGACGUUAGCGGCGGACGGGUGAGUAACACGUGGAUAACCUACCUAUAAGACUGGGAUAACUUCGGGAAACCGGAGCUAAUACCGGAUAAUAUAUUGAACCGCAUGGUUCAAUAGUGAAAGACGGUUUUGCUGUCACUUAUAGAUGGAUCCGCGCCGCAUUAGCUAGUUGGUAAGGUAACGGCUUACCAAGGCGACGAUGCGUAGCCGACCUGAGAGGGUGAUCGGCCACACUGGAACUGAGACACGGUCCAGACUCCUACGGGAGGCAGCAGUAGGGAAUCUUCCGCAAUGGGCGAAAGCUUGACGGAGCAACGCCGCGUGAGUGAUGAAGGUCUUCGGAUCGUAAAACUCUGUUAUUAGGGAAGAACAAAUGUGUAAGUAACUAUGCACGUCUUGACGGUACCUAAUCAGAAAGCCACGGCUAACUACG